CCUCCUUUUUUCUUCAUUUGGGAAUAUUGGACAAUGGGCGAAAGCCUGAUCCAGCAAUGCCGCGUGAGUGAUGAAGGCCUUAGGGUUGUAAAGCUCUUUUACCAGGGAUGAUAAUGACAGUACCUGGAGACUAAGCUCCGGCUAACUCCGUGCCAGCAGCCGCGGUAAUACGGAGGGAGCUAGCGUGGUUCGGAAUUACUGGGCGUAAAGCGCACGUAGGCGGUUUUUCAAGUCAGGGGUGAAAGCCCGGAGCUCAACUCCGGAAUGGCCCUUGAAACUGGAUGACUAGAAUCUUGGAGAGGUCAGUGGAAUUCCGAGUGUAGAGGUGAAAUUCGUAGAUAUUCGGAAGAACACCAGUGGCGAAGGCGACUGACUGGACAAGUAUUGACGCUGAGGUGCGAAAGCGUGGGGAGCAAACAGGAUUAGAUACCCCUGUAGUC
rnacentral:rRNA from 1 species